UCUAUACGGCUACAGAGCAUGUAGUGACUGUCACUGACCCUCGAAGGUCGUGCACGCCUAAGCCCUCUUACACAAUCCAUUUCACCCCUUUUGUGCAUCACCGCGUGGGUCCUCCCUUUGCCAGGAGGGCCUGCGUUUUUAUAUAAAACUUGACAUGAUGUAGAAUGUUUUCUUUUUUGCGAUUAUAUGCAAUCAAUACAACUUUCAACAACGGAUCUCUUGGCUCUCGCAUCGAUGAAGAACGCAGCGAAAUGCGAUACGUAAUGUGAAUUGCAGAAUUCAGUGAAUCAUCGAAUCUUUGAACGCACCUUGCGCCCCUUGGCAUUCCGAGGGGCACACCCGUUUGAGUGUCGUGAAAUUCUCAAAACCCCCUUUCCCUUGAAUCCCCUUUCCUGGGGGUUGGAAAAAGAAGUUUGGAAUUGGAAGGUCCAAGGUUGGCGUUUCCUUUUUGAAACCAACUUCCUCUCAAAGGAUUAAUGGGGGCCCGUUUGGUGAACCUUCACCGGGAUAAAAGGUUCCAAGGUUUGGAAUUGGCACUGGCCCCUGGAACCCCGGUUCCAACUGGUUUCCCGAACAAUGAGGUGGUUCCGGCCCUAACAAUUAAAACCGUGGAAAGGUGGAACCCACAAAAUUAAAACCUGAACUUCAAUCCGGUGAAAACUACCCGCUGACCUUAGCAUAAUCAUAAGCGAAGAAA
rnacentral:rRNA from 1 species